rnacentral:tRNA from 1 species
UCCCUGGUGGCCUAGUGGUUAAGGAUUGGUGUUGUCACUGCUGUGGCUCAGGUUCAAUCCCUGGCCUGGGGA